AUACGUAUGGGGCAAGCGUUAUCCGGAUUCAUUGGGCGUAAAGAGCGCGUAGGUGGAUUGUUAAGCGAGAUGUGAAAACUGGGGGCUCAACCCCCAGCCUGCAUCUCGAACUGGCAGUCUUGAGUUUGGUAGAGGAGUGUGGAAUUCCCAGUGUAGCGGUGGAAUGCGCAGAUAUUGGGAAGAACACCAGUGGCGAAGGCGGCACUCUGGGCCAACACUGACACUGAGGCGCGAAAGCUAGGGGAGCGAACAGGAUUAGAUACCCUGGUAGUCCUAGCCGUAAACGAUGGGCACUAGGUGUGGGGAGAUACUCUCUCCGUGCCGCAGCUAACGCAUUAAGUGCCCCGCCUGGGGAGUACGAUCGCAAGAUUAAA
rnacentral:rRNA from 1 species